rnacentral:tRNA from 1 species
GCCUGGGUGGCUCAGUCAGUUGAGUGUCUGACUUUGGCUCAGGUCAUGGCCUCACCGUUCAUGAGUUCGAGCCCCACCUCGGGUU